AUACGGAGGGUGCAAGCGUUGUCCGGAAUCAUUGGGCGUAAAGAGUUCGUAGGUGGUAUGUUAAGUCUGGUGUUAAAGGCCGAAGCUCAACUUCGGUAAGGCACUGGAUACUGGCAAACUUGAAUGUGGUAGAGGUAAAGGGAAUUCCUGGUGUAGCGGUGAAAUGCGUAGAUAUCAGGAGGAACAUCGGUGGCGAAAGCGCUUUACUGGGCCAUUAUUGACACUGAGGAACGAAAGCCGGGGUAGC
rnacentral:rRNA from 1 species